GAUGAACGCUGGCGGCGUGCCUAAUACAUGCAAGUCGAGCGAACAGACGAGGAGCUUGCUCCUUCGACGUUAGCGGCGGACGGGUGAGUAACACGUAGGUAACCUACCUAUAAGACUGGGAUAACUUCGGGAAACCGGAGCUAAUACCGGAUAAUAUUUCGAACCGCAUGGUUCGAUAGUGAAAGAUGGCUUUGCUAUCACUUAUAGAUGGACCUGCGCCGUAUUAGCUAGUUGGUAAGGUAACGGCUUACCAAGGCAACGAUACGUAGCCGACCUGAGAGGGUGAUCGGCCACACUGGAACUGAGACACGGUCCAGACUCCUACGGGAGGCAGCAGUAGGGAAUCUUCCGCAAUGGGCGAAAGCCUGACGGAGCAACGCCGCGUGAGUGAUGAAGGUCUUCGGAUCGUAAAACCCUGUUAUUAGGGAAGAACAAACGUGUAAGUAACUGUGCACGUCUUGACGGUACCUAAUCAGAAAGCCACGGCUAACUACGUG
rnacentral:rRNA from 1 species